GAAGCAAUUAUUGUUAAUCAGCUGACAUAUUCUAUAUCUUCUUCAAUUUCACAAUCUCAACACGGGUUUUCUAAAGAAAAAUCUACUAUCACUAAUUUAUUAGAGUUCCGUACGCAGAAGUGAA